rnacentral:misc_RNA from 2 species
CACCAAUCAAGCCCCGCUUGGUAUUAGGCGUCAGGCCCGCGCUUCGGCCGCGGGCCCGCCCGAAAUGCAUCGGCGAGGACAUCGACCCCCGGCGUGUUGAGAAUUCACGUUCGACGUCGGGAGCACCGGUGCGCCUCCGCCGCGGAAACCUUUCCGGAAAACACAAUUUUCAAA